rnacentral:rRNA from 1 species
CCUACGGGUGGCAGCAGUCGAGAAUCAUUCACAAUGGGGGAAACCCUGAUGGUGCGACGCCGCGUGGGGGAAUGAAGGUCUUCGGAUUGUAAACCCCUGUCAUGUGGGAGCAAAUUAAAAAGAUAGUACCACAAGAGGAAGAGACGGCUAACUCUGUGCCAGCCGGCGCGGUAAUACAGAGGUCUCAAGCGUUGUUCGGAAUCACUGGGCGUAAAGCGUGCGUAGGCUGUUUCGUAAGUCGUGUGUGAAAGGCGCGGGCUCAACCCGCGGACGGCACAUGAUACUGCGAGACGAGAGUAAGGGAGGGGGAACCGGAAGUCUCGGUGUAGCAGUGAAAUGCGUAGAUAUCGAGAGGAACACUCGUGGCGAAGGCGGGUUCAUGGACAUUAACUGACGCUGAGGCACGAAGGCCAGGGGAGCGAAAGGGAUUAGAUACCCCAGUAGUC